CAACAACACCCGGAGGUGUCACCAACAACACCCGGAGGGGACCCCAAUACCCCCAGAGACUCCAACAACACCCCGAGGGGACCCCAGCAACACCUGGAGGACCCCAACAACAACCCCAGGGACCCCAACAACACCCGGAGGGACCCCAAAAACACCUGGAGGUGUCACCAACAACACCUGGAGAACCCCAACAACACCCGGAAGGACCCCAACACCCCCAGGGAUCCCAACAACAACUCCAGGGUCCCCAACAACACCUGGAGGACCCCAACAACACCCGGAGGGGUCCCCAACACCCGGAGGUGGCCCCAACAACACCUGGAGGACCCCAACAACACCCUGAAGGUCCCCAACAACACCCGGAGGGACCCCAACAACACCCAGAGAGGUCCCCAACACCCGGAGGGGUCCCCAACACCCACAACUGUCCCCACCAACACCCGGAGGGGUCCCCCACAACACCCGGAGGGGUCCCCAACACCGUCACCAACACCCGGAGCUGUGAUUGUCCGCAGAGCGCCCCAUAGAGCCCCAUAACCACC
ensembl:lncRNA